CCCUUAGAUGUUCUGGGCCGCACGCGCGUUACACUGAUGCAUUCAACGAGUCUAAAACCUGCUCUGAUAGGGGUGGGUAAUCUUUUGAAUGUGCAUCGUGAUUGGGAUAGAUGAUUGCAAUUUUUCAUCUUCAACGAGGAAUGCCUAGUAAACGCAAGUCAUCAGCUUGCAUUGAUUACGUCCCUGCCCUUUGUACACACCGCCCGUCGCUCCUACCGAUUGAAUGAUCCGAUGAAUAUCAUGGAUUGAGGAUGCAAGCAGGUUCGCCUGUCUUCAUCUUCGAGAAGUGAAGUAAAUCUUAUCAUUUAGAGGAAGGAGAAGUCGUAACA
rnacentral:rRNA from 1 species